rnacentral:rRNA from 1 species
CAGUAGCCGCGGUAAUGCGAAGGGUGCAAGCGUUACUCGGAAUUACUGGGCGUAAAGCGUGCGUAGGUGGUGGUUUAAGUCCGUUGUGAAAGCCCUGGGCUCAACCUGGGAAUUGCAGUGGAUACUGGGUCACUAGAGUGUGGUAGAGGAUAGUGGAAUUUCCGGUGUAGCAGUGAAAUGCGUAGAGAUCGGAAGGAACAUCUGUGGCGAAGGCGACUAUCUGGGCCAACACUGACACUGAGGCACGAAAGCGUGGGGAGCAAACAGGAUUAGAGACCCGAGUAGUCCCUGUCUCUUAUAC